rnacentral:piRNA from 1 species
GAUUAGUUGUCCUCGCACAAAUUGCU